rnacentral:rRNA from 1 species
AGAGUUUGAUCCUGGCUCAGGAUAAACGCUGGCGGCAUGCCUAAUACAUGCAAGUCGAACGGAGGUGCUUGCACCUCAGUGGCGAACGGGUGAGUAACACGUAUCUAAUCUACCUUCUAGCGGGGGAUAACUUUUGGAAACGAAAGGUAAUACCGCAUGUGGAUGUUAUUAUCGCAUGAGAAAACAUUCAAAGAUCCGUUUGGAUCACUAGAAGAUGAGGAUGCGGCGUAUUAGCUAGUAGGCGGGGUAAAAGCCCACCUAGGCGAUGAUACGUAGCCGAACUGAGAGGUUGAUCGGCCACAUUGGGACUGAGAUACGGCCCAGACUCCUACGGGAGGCAGCAGUAGGGAAUUUUUCACAAUGGACGAAAGUCUGAUGAAGCAAUGCCGCGUGAGUGAUGACGGCCUUCGGGUUGUAAAGCUCUGUUGUAAGGGAAGAAAACAUAGGAGAGGAAAUGCUCUUAUCUUGACGGUACCUUACCAGAAAGCCACGGCUAACUAUGUGCCAGCAGCCGCGGUAAUACAUAGGUGGCAAGCGUUAUCCGGAUUUAUUGGGCGUAUAGGGUGCGUAGGCGGUUUCGCAAGUUUGAGGUUAAAGCCCGGAGCUCAACUCCGGUUCGCCUUGAAAACUGCGGGACUAGAAUAUCAGAGAGGUAAGCGGAAUUCCAUGUGUAGCGGUAAAAUGCGUAGAUAUAUGGAAGAACACCAGUGGCGAAAGCGGCUUACUGGCUGAUUAUUGACGCUGAGGCACGAAAGCGUGGGGAGCAAAUAGGAUUAGAUACCCUAGUAGUCCACGCCGUAAACGUUGAGUACUAAGUAUUGGGGAUUACCUCAGUGCUGCAGCUAACGCAUUAAGUACUCCGCCUGAGUAGUAUGCUCGCAAGAGUGAAACUCAAAGGAAUUGACGGGGACCCGCACAAGUGGUGGAGCAUGUGGUUUAAUUCGAAGCAACACGAAGAACCUUACCAGGGCUUGACAUACAGUGCAAAGCUACAGAGAUGUAGUGGAGGUUAACAUUGAUACAGGUGGUGCAUGGUUGUCGUCAGUUCGUGCCGUGAGGUGUUGGGUUAAGUCCCGCAACGAACGCAACCCUUGUCGUUAGUUACUAACAUUAAGUUGAGGACUCUAACGAGACUGCUAGUGUAAGCUAGAGGAAGGUGGGGAUGACGUCAAAUCAUCAUGCCCCUUAUGUCCUGGGCUACACACGUGCUACAAUGGCCGAUACAAAGAGUCGCAAUCUCGCGAGAGGGAGCUAAUCUCAAAAAGUCGGUCUCAGUUCGGAUUGAAGUCUGCAACUCGACUUCAUGAAGCCGGAAUCACUAGUAAUCGCGAAUCAGCUAUGUCGCGGUGAAUACGUUCUCGGGUCUUGUACACACCGCCCGUCAAACCACGAGAGUUGGUAAUACCAGAAGUACGUUUCCUAACCGUAAGGAAGGCGCGUCCCAAGGUAGGACUAGCGAUUGGGGUUAAGUCGUAACAAGGUAUCCGUACGGGAACGUGCGGAUGGAUCACCU